GAUGAACGCUGGCGGCGUGCCUAAUACAUGCAAGUCGAGCGAACAGAUAAGGAGCUUGCUCCUUUGACGUUAGCGGCGGACGGGUGAGUAACACGUGGGUAACCUACCUAUAAGACUGGGAUAACUUCGGGAAACCGGAGCUAAUACCGGAUAACAUUUGGAACCGCAUGGUUCUAAAGUGAAAGAUGGUUUUGCUAUCACUUAUAGAUGGACCCGCGCCGUAUUAGCUAGUUGGUAAGGUAACGGCUUACCAAGGCGACGAUACGUAGCCGACCUGAGAGGGUGAUCGGCCACACUGGAACUGAGACACGGUCCAGACUCCUACGGGAGGCAGCAGUAGGGAAUCUUCCGCAAUGGGCGAAAGCCUGACGGAGCAACGCCGCGUGAGUGAUGAAGGGUUUCGGCUCGUAAAACCCUGUUAUUAGGGAAGAACAAAUGUGUAAGUAACUGUGCACGUCUUGACGGUACCUAAUCAGAAAGCCACGGCUAACUACGUG
rnacentral:rRNA from 1 species